rnacentral:rRNA from 1 species
UACGUAGGGGGCGAGCGUUGUCCGGAUUUAUUGGGCGUAAAGAGCUCGUAGGCGGUUCGGCAAGUCGGAUGUGAAAUCUCCACGCUCAACGCGGAGGUGCCAUCCGAUACUGCUGUGACUCGAGUCCGGUAGGGGAGUGUGGAAUUCCCGGUGUAGCGGUGAAAUGCGCAGAGAUCGGGAGGAACACCCGUAGCGAAGGCGGCACUCUGGGCCGUGACUGACGCUGAGGAGCGAAAGCGUGGGGAGCAAACAGG